UUAAGGCACGGUGUCAUAUAUAAUAUCAUGCCCGACCAUCAAGGCUCGGUGUUAUCAUCAUUAGCCUGCGUCCAGGCCUCUCGCGUCCGGUGCAAUAUCAUAACAUGCCCACUGCAGUGGUGUGCACAUCUACGUGCCUGCCCGGCCGACUAUAGCGCGGAGCUGUGUGAGAAAAUACAUACAUAUGUAUAUAAAGCAUGCAUAAGAGCCCAAUCAAAAGCCACAACUGUAUCGGAGUGACGUAAGGUCAGUAGCCUCCGAUUAUAUUAUGGAAUACUCAUCGUCGCUUUGUUUCACCUUGAAGGAACAAUUAUUUUAAGGUGAGACUAUCGAUGAAGAAUAGAAUUAAGAGAAAACAUAGAAUAGGUUCGUAAAUCUCAUAAGGCAUCAAGCCAUGUAUUUUUGGAAUCUUAAAAGAAAUUAGUCAUCAUCCAUGAAUGAAUUGAGAAAUCAGUAAAUAACUCAACAUUCUUAUAUCGUCGUUGGAAUCAUAAAUUUAUAACCUUUAAGCAUGGAUUCAUUCUCAUCAUAGUAAUCAUAAUAAUAUAAAGCUCAUGUACAUGGAAAUCUCUAUGAAUACAAAUUAUCUCAUAAUAACAUGAAAUCUGUAUGCCUUGGAGCUUGGAUAAAUAAAUCCCUCAUAAUCAUCGUCAUGGUUAUCAUAAAAGAAAUUAUUCAUAUUUGCCAUCAUAAAACUUUAAGAGUCACAUUCUUGGAAAUGAAAUUUUUUAUGGAAUCCAUACAUAGUUUGGUAGGAAAAGAUUCAUGCUUUUGGAAAUUUGAUAACCUCAUAAGGAUCACGAAAGUCAUGGGUUUCUAGCAUUUGCAGAAUCAAUGAUAUUAUGGAUACGACACAAAGGUUUAUAACGAAAGAUCAUGCCUUUAGAAAGAAGGGGACUAGCCUUAACAUACUCGGAAGAUAAUUUCUCGACUUCCAACUCACUUCAUGUCUUACAAUUCACUUAAGGUCAUUCGUAGCCUUGUAAUCUACAUAUAGAACCAUUCAUAAUAUCAUUAGAAUCAUCAUCAUACUCUCGUCUCGAAACUUUAAUUAAAAUCCUUUUAGAUUCUGUCGAAAUUCGGGCAGCAUCUCCCCUGUUUAUAUGCCCAGCCCGAAUUCUUAAUUCAACAACCAACACAACAAUAACAAUACCAGCAUCAAUACAAUCAUUUCCAUACGAAUAUACUUCCUAAAACAUCCCACACGAUGUUUCCUAAAUUUCUCAACUAACCCACUUGUGAUACGACUAUUUAAUAACUUUAUUUCCGUAAAGAAGCCGAAAUUAAUACUAACAACAUCCCCAACAUCCUACAAGAUAAAUAUAUGUAUUUCCAUCCAUAUUUCUCUUCAACCCUCAAUCCACAAAUCAAAAACAUCAACACAACAACUACAACUUUUAUUUCUUGCAAAUAUUCCUUAAUCAAGAUUGAUAAAGAGAAGGAUUUAAUGAUUCAUACCUUGUUUUUAUGAAGGUUGCAAAAUCUUCAUCAUUUUCUUGUUCCCAAGCUACUCUAACACAAAAUGAAAUCAUCAUCGCGUCUACGUGUUGUUCGGACUUCGAUUAGUACUCCAAGACUUUGAAAUUUGCCCAAAAUCUUCAUUUUUAUGUUGUAUUUUAAGAGCCCUUUAGUUGGCUGGAAAAUUCUGGAAAUUUUUGGAAGGUUUUAUGAUGAAAAAUGGGGUUUUGACCCCUUUUAUAAUAAGUUGGGUCGGCGUCACUGUAGCUACAGUACUGUAGCAGUAAUGUGGCGGUACUGUAGCAGUGUUGUUUCUGCGUUGACAGUUCAGUUUGUAACGUCUAUAACUCUUUACUCCGACAUCCUAUUGACGAUCGGUUUGUUGCAUUCCGAACUAGACUCGACGAACUUCAUUUUAGGCUUUUGAAACGCCUUAAAACUCCAAAUAUACAUGGAGAUAUACCCCUCCAAAGUUGACUAAAAAUCUGUCCAACAUUUCUCAAAUUUUCGUCGAACUUAUUUUCUUCAAUUUUCUCGAUAUCGAAAUAUUCCGAAACUCUCCAUACAUGAUAUUUAUCACUUAUUAUACUAAUAAUGACCAUGUUCUAGUGUUUCAAAAUUCUCUUUCUCGAUUACGACUGACGAGAUCGUAAUUCACCCUUUUUCUUCGUUGUUACGUACUUUCCAUGACUUGUGCCUUUCAAAACAUCAUGGGAUGUCUUCGACACUCCAUUACUACGGUGAGGUACAUGUCAUCUCAUGCUCUGAAAACGCGGGGUGUAACAUCACUCUAUUUCAGUUGUAUACUUUUGUAUAGUGCGGGAUGACCCCGUAACUUUAUUAUUUCAUUUGUAGCGUCAUAGAGGCUCCAUAGAGACUUUGUAUCAUUUUGGGCAGUCGGUACUCAUAUGGCAUAGCGAAUGACAUUUCUACUUAUGUUUACUUUACAUUUUGAUGUACUUUGAUCUUGAAGGGAGUUAUUUUAUUUUGUCUCAUAUUAUUGUUAAGUUAAUUAAUUGAGUUAGGUGAAUAUGAUUUGGGGUUACUUAUUAUGUCAUAAUGGUUCACUCGGUGCAAGUUUGUAGGCACAGGGUGCCGGUCACGUUGCAACCCAUUUUGGGGCGUGACAUUUUGCUUUGCUAUUGUCUAGUAUUUUCUCUUUGAAAGAAAGACAUUGAAUUGAGCAGUGACUUAUCAACAUAAAAGGCAUUAAAUAUAGCAAAGAUAAAUCUAUGUUAUAUCUAAUCUUUUCAUCAAAAAAAAAAAAAAAUUGUCUUUGUCCAUUUUGAUGUAAUUUUUGGUUUCUAACUAGAAUUUAUCAAAUUCUAUUGGUGCUCGGAGCAAGGUUGUUUUUUUACCUCUUCCUUUAGUUGAAAAUUUAGUAAGCAAUAUCAGUAUGUAGCAUUGAAAAUUUAGUAAGCAAUAUCAGUAUGUAGCAUAAUUGAUCAAUUAUGCUCCAGGCUGCUGUGGAAUAUUUUUGAGGAUAUUUACAAAUUUUAUAAGCUUACAGAGGUAUGGUGAAUAUCAUGUGUCUCUCUUUUGAUGUUGGGGUGACUUUACCAUUAUAGUGAAUAUAUUUCAAUUACUUUAAUGUGACAAAAUAAUAGUUUUUAAUGUGACAAAAUAAUAGUGUUUUUUACUUUAUUGUGUAGUGUAUAAAAUUCGUGUUAUUUUGAUGAUUUGGCUGAUUUAGGAUGGGCGUUGAUCGUGCGGUUACAUAGAUUUACAACCAGAGAUCAACGCCAAGGUAAGAGCAAUUCUUAUGGACUGGCUGAUAGAAGCACACAAAAUGUUUGAGAUGAGGCCUGAAAGCCUUUACCUCACAGUUAACAUUUUGGAUCUUUUCCUGUCAGAGAAGACUGUUCUUGGAAGGGAACUUCAGUUAAUUUGCAUUAUCUCAAUGCUAAUUGCCUGCAAAUACAACGAGACUUGGGCUCCAGAGACAAUGCUUAUGUCAGGGACGAGAUACUUCUAAUGGAGAAAGCAACCUAGGGAAAGCUGGAGUGGUAUUUAACUCUUCCAUCUGAGUCACCUCCUUUUUAUUGGUUUUGGACCAAAUACUUCGCUCCUUUAUCUUGUUCUGUUUUUAUUUUUCUUGAACAAUACUAAUGUAUGGGAAGAAGCAACCAACAUCUAUGUGAAAAACAAAACUGCUCAAGAGUUGCAACAUCAAGAGAAAUUUUAUGGCAGCAACUAUUUACUUUUGGAGCUCUCUUUA